rnacentral:rRNA from 1 species
UACGUAGGGGCCGAGCGUUGUCCGGAGUUAUUGGGCGUAAAGCGCGCGCAGUCAGCCCGACGUGAAAGCCCCCGGCUUAACCGGGGAGGGUCGUGGGGGACGGCACCGCUUGAGGGCGGGAGAGGUCGGUGGAAUUCCCGGUGUAGUGGUGAAAUGCGUAGAGAUCGGGAGGAACACCUGUGGCGAAGGCGGCCGACUGGGCCGACCCUGACGCUGAGGCGCGAAGGCGUGGGGAGCGAACGGG